rnacentral:lncRNA from 1 species
UAGGUCCCUAGGACAAAGGGGAACGCGAUCGCCUGAGGUUCGGUUCCCCGUUAAGGCUGAAGGCGCCGUCCAAAGCCGAGCAUCCAACUACCGGCGGCAGAAGUAGUUCAUGCCACCUUGGUAGGGCUGACUCCGGGCCUCGUCUGCCCGCUGUGGGACAGAGUGUGCAGCAGCGACCGGAGCAGGCACACGACCACCAGCACCGGCAACCCCCGAGCGACUGCACACUGCCCGAGUCUUGGCGGUGACAGCGGCGCGGGGUCGGCUCGGCCCCACUCUCACUCACCAGCCUGGUGGCCCGGUACGGCCCGGGUCCCACUACGCGGUGCUCCAUUGCCAACGCGCAGCAGUCGCGGGGCAACGCCGGCGGGGACUCCAGACGGAGCUCGCCGCGCCGCAGUUUGAAUCACAAGCCCGGAGCUUCGGGGCGCUGAUUGGACGUUGCGAGGGCACGUGACAGGAACUGUGUGGUGGGCGGGGCUGUUUGUGUCCUGGAUUUCACUACCCGGGGUUGCGCCUCCAGCACCUAGGAGGAAAGAACACUUUCUCCUCGCCAAUGGGCGCUCGGAUGCUUGCGGACAUGACUGAUCGCGCCGCGUACCGCCGGCACACAGUGGAUGGCGCUGCCCAAAACCUACCGGGACUGUCCCUGCCGCGAGUCCACUCGGAACACCAGCUCUGCAGCCUCGGAGCCCAUU